rnacentral:rRNA from 1 species
AAUCUUUUUUAUUUCUUUGUUGGGAUUUGUGCCUUUUGCAUCAUGCUCAAUUGAUUUUUUUAAAUUUGUUUUUUUACCGAAAAAUUUAGAUUUCUAACAAGGUUGUUUAGUAAUGUAUGUAUUUGUCGAGUAGACUUUAUGAAAUUUUGUUAGUGUUGUGAUAAAUUAGUCGUUAAAUUUUAUAUCUGUUUAGUGAUUAUUUUUAAAUAGAUACUCCUUUGGUUUUGAUAUCUUUGGGGUGUAUAUACUUUAUCUUCUUUAUUUUUUUAAAAAUAGGUUAGAAGUACCUAGUUUUUAUAAAAUUGUUGAAAAUUUUUUUUGGAUUGGUUUUGUUAUUGUAAAUUAUCACUUUUUUAAUGUUUUGUGAAAAAUUUAUUAUUGAAUAAGUAAUAGUAAUUACAUUAAUUAUUUCUCGUAGGUUGUCCGUCUGUUUAUUAAAAACAUUUCCAUGUUUGUAAUUUUAUAUGGUAGUACCUGCUCUAUGUUUUUAUAAAUGGCCGCAGUAUAUUGACUGUGCGAAGGUAGCAUAAUUAAUUGCCUUGUAAUUUAAGGCUUGUUUGAAUGGUUUGACGAGAUAAUGUUUAAUAUUUUGUGUUUUGUUGAAAUUGAUUUUGAUGGUUCUGAAUCCUCAUUUAGUUAAUUAGACGGAAAGACCCCGGGAUCUUUUAUUUUGCCUGGGGCGGGUGUUUUUUUUUCAAAAUCAUUAUGACCCUUUAUAGUAUAAUGAGUUAAGUUACCCCGGGGAUAACAGUGUAAUAAUUAAUUAGAGUUCAUAUCGAAUUAAUUGAUUGCCACCUCGAUGUUGACUUAGGUAAAUAUAAUAGGCGCAGUUGUUUAUUAUUUAGGUCUGUUCGAUCCUAUUUUACCUCACACAGAG